rnacentral:lncRNA from 1 species
GUUUCUCCAUGUUGGUCAGGCUACCAACCUCAGGUAAUGCACUCGCCUCAGCCUCCCAAAGUGCUGGGAUUAUAGGCGUGAGCCACUGCGCCCAGCCUAAAACUUUUUUAAAAAAAAGUAGAAUAACUUUUAAAAAAGAAUGUAAAUGUCCUCAGAGUGCAUAAUACUACUGAAAAUAUAUGUGGCCAGGAUAUACAUUGGUGGGCACUAAGGUUAAGUACCCUUUUAGGAAAGGAUCUGGCUUCUUUGGUGAGUUCAUUCUAAUUCCUUUGGAUCCCAAGGCUCCUUUUGGGAGAAAAGUGUCUAAUUUACAUGCUGUUGGUCCUAACAGAGCUUCCUUUGAAAUAUACCAGAUAAUUAGGGAAAUUAUUAGGUAAGGAAAGGGCAUAAAAAAGGAGUAAGAAUUGAAUGGAUAGAAACUGUUACUGCUUGCCUUCUCCCAGGCAGGCCUGUCAAGCACUCUGCUUCUUUAACAGCCACCUGCAUGGAGAACCAACUAAGGAUCAUCACUGUUCAAUCUGAAUGUCCAUGUGGGGUUUGUUUGUUUGUUCACCUUUCCAUAACGGACCAGGAAAGUGGUCCAAUCGGGAAAUGAAUACCAUGCUGGAGUACACAGAACAUGCUUAUGAAUGAACAGGUAUCUUAUCCAUCAUUUGUGGAUACUAACUCAUAAGGAACUAGAAGAUUAUGAAGAAUGCUAUCUUAGUUCAUUUUCUGCUGCUAUAACAAUACCACAGACUGGGUAAUUUAUAAAGAACAAAGGUUUAUUUGGCUCAGUUUUGGAGGCUGGGAAGUCCAAGCGCAUGACACCAGGCUCUGGUGAGGGUCAUUCUAUGGUGGAAGAUGGAAGGCAGAAGCAAGCAUGUGACAGAGCAAGCAAAUUGGGCUGAACUCACCCUUUAGUCAGAAUCUCACUCUGCGAUAACCAGCCCACUCCUGCAAUAACUAACCUACUCCUGCGAUAACAGCAUUAAUUCAUUCAUGGGGGUGGAACCCUCAUGACCUAGUUUACUUUUUUUUGGUAGGGAUGGGGUCUCAGUAUGUUGUCCAGGCUGGUCUCUAACUCCUGUCCUCAAAUGUCCUCCUGCUUUGGCCACCCAAAGUGUUGCUGGCAUUACAGGUGUGAACUACCAUGCCCAGACCUAAUCACCUCUUAAAGGUCCCACCUCUUAACACCUUUUCAUUGGAGAUUACAUUUCCAACACAUGAACUUUGGGGACAUAUUGAAACCAUAGCACAUGUUUAAUAAAAAACUACCCUGAACAUAGUAUUUCUUUAAAAAUUUAGAAGAUAAUUCAACAUCUUGCCAUUGAUUCGGAAUUACUACACACAUGAUUCCAUAGUAUUUUUAUCACUUUCUAUUAAGGGCUUUAUAAAUUUCCCAGUACUGAUGUUUCCAAAAAAAAAAAAAAAAAAAGUCAUGUCUUUAUCACUGAUUUCAGUGCCCAAAAAUCUGGUCAUUUCAAAUAAAUCUUUGAUUUAUUUGAGGUUUUUUUUUUUUGGU